rnacentral:tRNA from 1 species
GGAGGGGUGGGUGAGUGGACGAAACCACCGGUCUUGAAAACCGGCAGGCCCCAAGCCUCGCGGGUUCGAAUCCCGCCCCCUCCG